rnacentral:rRNA from 1 species
UCCUACGGGGGGCAGCAGUGGGGAAUAUUGGGCAAUGGGCGCAAGCCUGACCCAGCAACGCCGCGUGAAGGAAGAAGGCUUUCGGGUUGUAAACUUCUUUUGUCAGGGACGAAGCAAGUGACGGUACCUGACGAAUAAGCCACGGCUAACUACGUGCCAGCAGCCGCGGUAAUACGUAGGUGGCAAGCGUUAUCCGGAUUUAUUGGGUGUAAAGGGCGUGUAGGCGGGGAAGCAAGUCAGAUGGGAAAACCACGGGACCAACCUGUGGCCGGCAUUUGAAACUGUUUUUCUUGAGUGCUGGAGGG